AAACGACUCUCGGCAACGGAUAUCUCGGCUCUCGCAUCGAUGAAGAACGUAGCGAAAUGCGAUACUUGGUGUGAAUUGCAGAAUCCCGUGAACCAUCGAGUCUUUGAACGCAAGUUGCGCCCGAUGCCUUCGGGCUGAGGGCACGUCUGCCUGGGUGUCACGC
rnacentral:rRNA from 3 species